rnacentral:lncRNA from 1 species
CAGAUCUAAAUUUAAGUUUCUAGCGAUUGAUGUUGCUAUGUUGACGGAUCCAUGAUUGGGGGUUUUGAAUAUAUGACCUGGAGGUUCAUGUCCGAAUCGAUUUUGAAUUUUAUGAAAUCAAUUGAAGCUCCAGAUCUCAGAAAUUGAAACCCUAAUAAGUAUUUGUGUACACGCAGAUUGUGAUAGACUUCACAGCAGUGUGGUGCCCACCUUGCCGUUUCAUUGCACCUAUCUUUGUCGAGCUCGCUAAGAAGCACCUUGAUGUUGUCUUCUUCAAGGUCGACGUCGAUGAAUUGGCUGUGAGUUACUUUACUUCUCUCUACAAUAUCCAGAUAAAUUGUGUUGGGCUUAAACAGUUUGGUUCUUUUGUUUUGUUUGCAGACUGUUGCUCAGGAGUUCGAUGUUCAGGCCAUGCCAACCUUUGUCUACAUGAAAGGCGAAGAGAAGCUCGACAAGGUUGUUGGUGCUGCCAAGGAGGAAAUCGAAGCCAAGCUUUUGAAGCACUCUCAAGUUGCUGCCGCUUGAUUAUCCUUCUUCUUCUUCUUCUU